ACGAACGCUGGCGGCGUGCCUAAUACAUGCAAGUAGAACGCUGAAGGGAGGAGCUUGCUCUUCUUGGAUGAGUUGCGAACGGGUGAGUAACGCGUAGGUAACCUGCCUUGUAGCGGGGGAUAACUAUUGGAAACGAUAGCUAAUACCGCAUAACAAUGGAUGACACAUGUCAUUUAUUUGAAAGGGGCAAUUGCUCCACUACAAGAUGGACCUGCGUUGUAUUAGCUAGUAGGUGAGGUAAUGGCUCACCUAGGCGACGAUACAUAGCCGACCUGAGAGGGUGAUCGGCCACACUGGGACUGGGACACGGCCCAGACUCCUACGGGAGGCAGCAGUAGGGAAUCUUCGGCAAUGGGGGCAACCCUGACCGAGCAACGCCGCGUGAGUGAAGAAGGUUUUCGGAUCGUAAAGCUCUGUUGUAAGUCAAGAACGGGUGUGAGAGUGGAAAGUUCACACUGUGACGGUAGCUUACCAGAAAGGGACGGCUAACUACGUG
rnacentral:rRNA from 1 species